CCUACGGGAGUCAGCAGUGGGGAAUAUUGCACAAUGGGGGAAACCCUGAUGCAGCAACGCCGCGUGAGUGAGGAAGUAUUUCGGUAUGUAAAGCUCUAUCAGCAGGGAAUAGAAAAGAAGGUACCUGAAAAAGAAGCACCGGCUAACUACGUUCCAGCAGCCGCGGUCAUACGUAGGGGGCAAGCGUUCACCGGAUUUAAUGGGUGGAAAGGGAGCGUAGACGGAAAGGCAAGUCAGAGGUGAAAGCCCAAGGCGCAACCAUGGGACUGCUUGUGAACCUGUCAAACUAGAGUACGGGAGAGGUAUGCGGAAUGCGUAGUGUAGCGGUGAAAUGCUUAGAUAUUGCGCAGAACUCCGAUUGCGAAGGCAGCAUACCGGCGGCGAUCUGACGCUGAGGCACGAAAGCGUGGGUAUCGAACAGGAUUAGAUACCCUUGUAGUC
rnacentral:rRNA from 1 species